GAUAAACGCUGGCGGCGCACAUAAGACAUGCAAGUCGAACGGACUUAACCUAAAAGUUUACUUUUGGAGCGGUUAGUGGCGGACUGGUGAGUAACAUGUAAGCAAUCUGCCUAUCAGAGGGGAAUAACAGUGAGAAAUCAUUGCUAAUACCGCAUAUGCCAUAGUUAUCGCAUGAUACAGUUAGGAAAGGAGCAAUCCGCUAAUAGAUGGGCUUGCGUCUGAUUAGCUAGUUGGUGGGGUAACGGCCUACCAAGGCGACGAUCAGUAGCCGGACUGAGAGGUUGAACGGCCACAUUGGGACUGAGAUACGGCCCAG
rnacentral:rRNA from 1 species